rnacentral:rRNA from 1 species
GUCUAUGGCCAUACCACCCUGAACGUGCCUGAUCUCAUCUGAUCUCGGAAGCUAAGCAGGGUUGGGCCUGGUUAGUGCUUGGAUGGGAGAAAAAGGAAAGCCUGUUGUAUAUG